AAGAACCCUAAAACAGUCGAAUGUUUCCAACCCAUCCUUCUUUCAUCCCCACUAUCAAUUGCAAAAAUUCUUCUUUGAAUCCGCAUCAAUAAUACGAAUUCGGCCCGGCGAUUGAAGUUUCUUGCGAAGAAUAACGAAAGAAGAUCAAAUUGAUUCAGAUUGAAACCCUAGCCUCUCUCUUUCUUUGGCUUGAAGCUUCUACCAUACGCUUUCCUGAAACCCUAAAGUAUUAUACGCUUCUUCUUCUUCUACCUGCAUCUCAUUCUCUCUGAAUCGCUUGUGCUAUUUCAAAACCCUCAUCUCAGAUUCUUUAAUUACGGCCUUUCGUUUAAGAGAUGGGUUUGAUUAGAUAGAUAUUUGUUGUUUGUUUGGGUAUGGAGUUUGUGCGCCCACCUGCAUCAGCACGCACAUCUGCCACCAGAUCAGGUGUGGGGAUUCUUGAAGAUAACUAUUGUUGGCCAAUUGACUAUUAUAAUUUGAGAGCUGGAAAAUGGCAUACUAAAGAUACCUAAUGAUGGUUAUGAAAAUCUCAAAGAAAGGAGAAUAAUUCUUUUAGCACUUCCCUGUUAUGAAGCGGAGAGAAGUUGUUAACAAAUAUUUAAAAGGGAUUAAAACAACCGAUUAAGUUGGCCUUCACAUGCCUCACUAUGGUGAUGAUGCAGUAGGUGGCUCGAGUUUAGUAGAUGGUCAAAUAGAACUAAUGCUCCAUAGGAGGCUAUUAUUCGAUGACACCAAAGGUGUUGGUGAGGUGCUAAACGAGACAAUAUGUGUCGUCGAUGAUUGCAGGGGCUUCUGUCCGUUCACAAUCUGCACGGGUCGAGACGAUAGACACUUUUUUUGGUGGUUGGUACCUUCUAUCGGUCUUGGCAAGCCAAUCCCAACUAACAAGAGGUGUGCUGCUGGCAAGAUCUUCAGCAACCCGGAAGUCGAAAAGGAGGUCCCAUGGUACAGAAUUGAGCAAGAAUACACCGUGGAUGUCAACUGGCCUCUAGGUUGGCCUCAAGGUGGUUUCCCUGGUCCACAGGGGCCAUACUACUGUGGUAUUGGUACCGAUAAGGCUUUCGGUCAUGAUAUUGUUGAUGCACAUAAUAAGGCUUGCCUUUACGCUGGCAUCAACAUUAGUGGUAUCAAUGGCGAAGUUAUGUCUGGUCAGUGGGAGUUUCAAGUUGGACCUGCUGUGGGCAUAUCUGUAGGCGGAUGAACUGUGGGUGGCACGUUACAUUCUUGAGGUUUUAUUUUCAAAAGAUGAAGUUGUGUUCUUGCUUGCAUGAGUGAUUGGACUGCUCGGGCCAAUCGAUUACCAUAAGCUAGAAAGAGGUCACGAAACAAGCAAAUAUUUCACCGUUGAGUUCAAUCUUUAUCGCAUAAACGAGAAACAAACGAGAUGGAAUACAUAACCCCACAAGAAACAUCUUUGGAAGAACGUGUACAAGUUUCCUAUACAUUAUUACUCGAUUUUAUUGGUAACUUACUUGAGAUCAACCCACAAAGGCGGCCCACAGCCCGAGAAGCCUUGAAAGACCUCUCGCUAUUGUUUCCCUACGGUUGAACUUCGUUUUUUGUUAAUUUCUUUUUGUUUAUAAUCCGGGCCUAUGUUUUGUUGUAGAGAUGAGAGUAUCGCACAAUGUAAACUCCUACAAACUUCUACAUAGAUGACUGAUGACUCCCCAUUUUCAUAAAGAAAAUACCUUUCUUUU